CCCGUUUGCUUGGUUGACUCUAAAGCAUGCCUGCGCUAGAUUUGUUCAAGAUUUAUGCAAUUGGGCCUGUCGUUGAUCUAUGAAUAUUAACCUAAUGAAUUUAUUAAACGAUCUAAAUACCACCUAUUCAUAGAUUAACUUGUGCCACCGUUGAUUUUUUACUUAUUGUGUCAUUCUUAUUUUUGAGGCUGGCCUGGCACAUUCUGUUUCCAAAUAUAUUAUAUUAAUAGUUUGGCGUCUCAUUAACUGACGAGAUGGUCAGGACAAAGGUUGUGCUUAGUGUCGUUCAUGGUAACGUUGGUCUGCUUGAUGCAAAAUACAAGCACUACAGGAACUACAUCAGUGACUGCUUGGCCUCUUAUUUUGAUUAGCCUAUCAUUAAAGUUGGAAACACCAGAAUUGACGCUUGCGCAUGAGUGCGUACAGGUUGUCCUUGGGAUUUUCUUCUUUGCAAACUCGAUUGAUUGUUGAUACGGUUUCCUAGGCUAUUGUUCUUUGUACAACACAUGAAGCAAUCUGCUCAUGUGUGUGACUUAGUCUGAUUAUUAGGCUUUAAAAUUUCUGCUGGUUUAUCUUAUAAUUCAUGGUAGCAUUUGAUUUUUUUAUCAAUUACCAUGUCUCAGUUGUAGAACAGGACAGUAAGAGUCUAAUAAAACUCUUGCACAACAAAGAUUGCCAUCCUUUAGUUACCCAGACCUUUGUUUUCGUGGUAUAAAAACCCACUGCUGUCAAACUUUUUCUUUUUGAAACGGACUGCUAUCAACUUUAGUACUCUCGAAAAUCAUAUAACUAUUUUGAAAUUUCCUAUGACAUAGGCCAAGACAAGCAUCGUAAGGGUCCAGUUAGAAUGAUGACUGAUAUCCUGUUAGAGCAUCUUGGGCUU